GGAGUUAUUAAGUGGAUGGGAGAGGCUCUCUCCUGUCAGCUUAGAGCAUCUUCACCAAGAGUGCUACAGCUACAUCGGUGCAAGUUUCCAGUGUAGACAAGCCCUUAGUGGUGUAUCUAUCUGUGCUCAUGAAGAUUAAGUGACUUGCAGCAGUGGACAUGUGUCUUUUGGGAGGUUUUCUCUGUGUGCGUUCACAGGCCAGAUGCAUUUAGACAACUGCAACAAAAGCUCUCCUGUGCCAAAGACAUUGCUGCUGUGACCUGGAGGAAGAACCAUCUGUAGGGGUGACAAUUCAAUUCCCGAACCUGCUCAGCUCUGACCUUGCUUGAUUAUCUCCUGGCUGAAUCUCAGAAGAACCCUAGCAAACCACAGGCUUCACAGAGGAUGCGAAUUGCAAUGGAAUCUACAACAGCAGCAACAACAACAACAACAAAGUUCAACCAAACCUUUUAAUGUGAGAGCUGUUUACAUGUAAAUAUUUGUUAGGAAAGAGCCCCUGUAGUCCUCUGCUGAUGUGCCUGAAUUCAACCCUUCCUCUGGGUUUACUUUUUAAUUCUGCAGCCAGAGUAUUAGCAAUAUUAAACCGAAAAUGUCACAGAAUGUCAAGUCUGAAAAUGUCACAGAGAAAAGGAAGGGGGAAAAAAAGAAAAGAUGGUGACCCUGUACUAUCAGCAGAUGAAAUAAAUAUGCCUCACUGGUACAGUACAGUGGUUUCUUGGUGGGUAUAAUUUUAUACAUUUUGCAUCCUAUUAAUUUUCAUGGCAUCGAUGGAGAAAUAUUA